rnacentral:lncRNA from 1 species
AACUGGCCAAUCCUACACUGUUCACUCUGCCUUCUUUGUGGAAAUCCCACAUAAAGGCUCUAGCCUUUGCCUUCUCCUUGCUCCUGUCAUCUGCCUCUUGACCAUCCUUACAUUUCCUUUGUGGCCCUGUUCCCUUCUCUCAGGUGUGGCAUGAUCCCUUCUCUCAGGAAAUCCAGAGGCAGUUGGUGUAUCUAUUAAAGGAUGAAU